UCAGCUUGUUGGUGAGGUAAUGGCUCACCAAGGCGUCGACGGGUAGCCGGCCUGAGAGGGUGACCGGCCACACUGGGACUGAGACACGGCCCAGACUCCUACGGGAGGCAGCAGUGGGGAAUAUUGCACAAUGGGCGGAAGCCUGAUGCAGCAACGCCGCGUGAGGGAUGACGGCCUUCGGGUUGUAAACCUCUUUUAGCAGGGAAGAAGCGAGAGUGACGGUACCUGCAGAAAAAGCGCCGGCUAACUACGUGCCAGCAGCCGCGGUAAUACGUAGGGCGCAAGCGUUAUCCGGAAUUAUUGGGCGUAAAGAGCUCGUAGGCGGUUUGUCGCGUCUGCUGUGAAAUCCCGAGGCUCAACCUCGGGCCUGCAGUGGGUACGGGCAGACUAGAGUGCGGUAGGGGAGAUUGGAAUUCCUGGUGUAGCGGUGGAAUGCGCAGAUAUCAGGAGGAACACCGAUGGCGAAGGCAGAUCUCUGGGCCGUAACUGACGCUGAGGAGCGAAAGGGUGGGGAGCAAACAGGCUUAGAUACCCUGGUAGUCCACCCCGUAAACGUUGGGAACUAGUUGUGGGGACCAUUCCACGGUUUCCG
rnacentral:rRNA from 1 species